AUUUAUAUAGCAACCAUACACUACAUAUCAAAGGGCCAUUUGAACAUAGAUACAUAUCAAAAUAUGUGACCACCUUACAAGCCGUCUCAAAUGGCCAAAACACAACAAGAUAUAUAGGCCACAUUAGCCAAAACACCUAUACAUGCCAUUUAACCAAAAUAUACAAAGUCCAAAAUACCAAAAUGAGAGUUUGAUAGUGCGACACAAUCUUUGGCAACUUCCAAACAGAGCGAGCUUCUGAAUCACUAUAAAACACGAAAAUUAAAACAGAGUAAGCAAUUAAGUUUAAUAAGUUUGUAUGGCUAAUAAAUACAACAUACCAUUCAUCCACAAUUUAGAUAAGCAUAAUUAAAACAUAGGUAAAUUUCAAUUGGCCCAAAGCCUAACACAUAAUUACAAUUAUGUUAGUCAAGUAUGAAUACAUCAACUAUGAGUUACAUUUUGUAUUUCACACGAAUACCUAUACUGGUUUGUAUCAACUCUUAUAACCUCGUAUCAUCUGUACCCGUUGAACCAUUUGGAAUACUAUCGGAUACUCAGGUAUCUCGCACACUAAGUGCCAAUACGUGGUCAAAACCACUUUUAUCUCAUAUCUUAUAUAAAUGCUCACUCUCGAGCCAUCACUAGGUCUGCUCACACAAGCUGCCAGACAAGACGUAGCUACACGUUGCUGCUCACACAAGCUGUAAAGUAACCGCAAUACAUGCCGAAAACUCAGCCACCAGUAGGACGUACGAGACCAGCACCCAAAACACGGUAACCCCUAAUGACAUGUCAUUUGCAUCCUAACUAUUCCUAAGGUUCAAUCGGGAUCCAUACAUUACUGAUACCUCGCCGAGAAUUUCCAUGGUGUCAUAUAAUCACAAUUAUAUCAAUUAAGCAUUUAAACACAUGUAAUUUAAUGCUUAUUAAACAUACGAACUUACCUCAAAUUUAUACGGAGACAAUCGACCGAUCAAUCCACUACUUUAUCUUUGCCUCGAUCUAAUUCUGAAAGUGGCUUUUCUUGAUCUAUAUAUAAUAAAAUUUAACUAAUUUAAUAUUUAUUCUAUUCAAUUCAAUCGAAUUUCAUGUUAUGGCAAAAUUAUCAUUUUUCCCCUAAACAUUUGACCUUUUUACAAUUUAGUCCCUAAGCUCGUAAAAAAUGAAAUUCAUGAAAUUUCACUACAUCCAAGCCUAGCCAAAAAUUAUAUAUGCUCAUAUAAGCCCAUAUAUUCCAUAAAUUCACACAUUUAUCACAAAAUUUUCAUAUUUCUCAAUUUAACCCCUAAUUAACAAUUUCAUCAAAACUCACUUAACACAAAUUGUUUAUUUAACAACAAAGGUUCAUUUUAUUCCAUUAAACUUCAAGAAAAACUAAUAUGUUCUCUUGUAAAAACCCUAUACUUUCAACCAUAUUGCAAUUUAGUCCCUUAUUUAGCUAGAUUAAGCUACAACGGUUCCGAAAAUAUAAAAAUUAACGAAAACGGGAUGAAAUAACACUUACAUACAAAGAAAAAGCUUAAGAAAAAAAAUUCUUCCCUUCUCCUAUGGUGAAUUUGGCUAUGGCAUGAAAAAUAGAAGAAGAUGAUAGCUUUUUGGCUUUUCUUUUAUUUAUUUAUUUAUCAUUAAUUACAUUUUUACCAUUUUACCCUUACCUAACUUUAAAAAUUACUCAAUUACCAAGCCAUGCACAUCAACUAACUCAUUUAAUGGUGUAAUUACCAUAUAAGGACCUCCACUUUAAAAUUCUAUAGCUAUUUAACACAUUUAGCUAAUAGAACACAACUUUCGCACUUUACGCGAUUUAGUCCUUUUUCACAAAUUGAGCAUACAAACGGUAAAAUUUCCUAACGAAAUUUUUAUACCACCAUAUUAUCAUACUAUAGACCAUAAAAUAAUAUUAAAAUAAAUUUUUUGACUUCAAAUUUUUUGUCCUGAAACCACUGUUUCGAUUUCACUAAAAAUGAGCCGUUACAUCUUCUGUAUUCAUAUUCAUCCAACGAGAUUUACCGCAAACAUGACAAGACUGUUGGCUUUUUCGAUUACCUACAACUAUGAAUUUUUUCAUACCUAAGGCCUAAAUCUUUUAUCAGUUUCUUCAUAUCUUUGCAUGAAUGAAAUAUUUUUGCAAACAGAAACAUAUCUCUCAAUAUCUCUAACAACAUUGUAUAAGAGUUUUCGGUCCACCCUCCCAAACAUUUUAAGUGAAAAAGACGAAUGCAGAAAGAUGUUUUUGAAAAUUUUGAUCCCUUAUAAAGUUCUUCAUUCAUUUUAUUAAGUAACUUGUAGAAUUUCACCACUUCUCAAUUUGGCUUUUCAUCAGGUACACUUCUUCCCAUUUCAGUAAAAUCAUUUCCACCAAUGUUACAAUCAUCAGAUGCAAUAAAGUCAGGUGGAAACGAUUGCAAACCAUGACUGCGUAUAUUAAAUGCAUCCCGCAACAUACCUUCCAUGCCAUCUUCUCUAAUAGACUGAUGGUAAGCAUUAUGAGGAUAAGUCGAAUUAAUCGUUGAAGAGGAUCUAUAAUGUGUACACUCUCCAUGGAAAAUCCAUUUUUUAUACCCACGAAUAAAGCCAUCAACAAUUAGAUGUUCGUAGACAACUUCACGAAAAUGUCAAUUGAUGUUGCCACAGUUCUUACACGGGCAAAGAAUCAUAUUCUCUUGGCUUGCAUUUUGAAAUGCAAAAUUUAGAAAAGUUUGUAGUCCAUUUUGAUAGCCGUUGCUUACCCUUGACAAAUUCAUCCAACUCUUAUCCAUUUCGUAGUUCUUGAAGUCUAAAUUUGACAAUAAAUUAUGGUUACUUAAAUGUUCUCAAUUGAUUUAAAUCAUGUCAUUGUACUAAAAUAGAUAAUACAUAUCAAGUAUCUAAUGGGUGUAAACUAAUUCAGGUAAGUUGUUUAUUUAUAAGUAUAUAUUUAUGUAUUACGUAAGUUAUGUAAGUUAUGAUAUGAUAUGUAAGUUAUGUAAGUUAUGAUUAUCAUCUUUAAAUUUUAACCCUUUAAUUAUACUCUUAUAAUUUAUAAAUUUGUGUUUUUAAUAAAUAAUAUAAAUUAUAAAUUUUAUUUAAAAUUCCCAUUAUCUACCCUUAUAUAAAAGCUAUCCCAAACCCUAAUAGGAGAUUCAAGGUCAUUGUGUAGUUGGACAACCAAGCAAUGCAAUUUCAUUAAGUAUACAACCAAGUAUACAAGACAUUUGAGACAAAAUAUAAUACCAACAUACUAACCUUACAUGAUAAAUGAAAUUAUAUUAAUAAUUUUAAUGGCUGGAUUGUAAAAAUUAGAGUUUUACACAUAAGUAAAUUAUUUUAAAAUUGAUAAAUAUUGAAAUACGUUAAAGCAAAAAAAUAUUAAAAGAUCUAAAAUUUGAUAAUAUUUAAUUAGACUGUGGGUUUUUAUAAUUGAAACUAUUAAAAUUUAUAAGUAAACAAAUAUUAUAUUAUAAAAUACCUUAAUUGUUUUAUAUUACAUGAAAUAAAAAUAUAUUAUUAAAUAAAUAAAAAUAACUAAUUGCAUAUCUUUGAAUAAUAAUUAUUUAUAUUAAGAAAAAUAAAAAUUUAGAAUCAUAACUAAAACAAAUAAUAAAAAUUGGAUUAAAUAUAAAGAUGUUAUAGUGAAGUUACUUAAAUGAAAUAAGGACUUAAAUCAUAAUAUCCAGUCCCAUGUGAAAUAUCAACAUUGAUUAUUUAAAUUGAUCAAUUUAGGCUGCUAAUGAAUAUUCUCUUUUCAUUCCAAUUCGUGUUAUUAAACAAUUUUAAAAAAUUAACUUUUUUAAAUAGUUAUAAUAAAUAUAUUAGUAAGUAAAAACAGAUUUAAGUAGACUAAUUUUUUAUUAUUAUUUGAAGAAAAUGAGAAAAUAAAAUGCAUAAUUUUUCUACACAUGUUAAAUUCUUCUGCUUUGAAUUAAAUCCAAUUGAGUGUCUUUUUCUAUGAGCAUUACUGAGAUGUAAUAAAGAAUAAAACAAUGCAGAAAUGUAAUGUAAAAAUUAUUAUUAUUAAUAGUAUAAUUAAAGAGAAAAGAACAUAUUAUAUGAAGCAUAGGAAUGGAGAGAAACAUAAUAAUUAAACUAAGAAAGUGAUGAACAUUUGCUUUAACUAAUAAAUUGCAAUGGAGAGAAACAUAACUUUAAGUAGCUAAAUUAUUAUUGGAAGCAAUAUCAUUUUUUAUAAUUUCAUGAAAUGGCAAAGCAUGCAAAAACUGGAAUCUGUCUUACCUGAGAUAAUGUGGAUUGAAGCUAAGCAAACUGAAUGGUAGAAAGCUGGAUGAAAAAUCUAAAGUAAGUAAAAUGAUCCAAUAUUUGAAAGAAAAAUCAUAAAUACAAGACUAAUAGCAAAAUAAAACUCCAAACAGAUUUAACUACUAUCAUUUGGUCGAGACUAAAGUUCGAGUUUCCUUUAUCAAGCAUUGUUAACAUUCGUUUUUGACCUUAGCAAAGCAGCCAAUGAAGAAUCGAUUCCAGGGUCCCCUGGCUGAGAAAUAGUCAAGCAAUUCUAACCAAUUUUAAACUUGUGUGUUUUAAAUCACUAUCACAAACAAAAGAAAAUUUCAAAUCAAAGCUGUCACCACCAAGAAAUCAAAUCAAUGAAAUAAACAAAAGAAAUACAGGACUAACGAAACAAUAAAAAAUUUCACAUAUUACAGAUGAAAUGGGCAAAUGACCAUCAUAGUUGACAACGUAGAGAUGAACAGGUGAACCCUAUCAUAGACAUUACCUAAGAAGGAGUUAAAUCAAAUGAUGGACGAGCAUCACUCUCUCUGCUCUGAGCAUAUACACAAGAAAGACCUCGACCCAACCAUGUUGUUGAUCCUGCCACAACCUCAGCUGUAACAAAAUAAAGCACUGUACUAAAUUUCAAAAGGACCAGUACCUAAGACAACCACAGAUUCCAAAAGAUGGUUCACUUCAGCAGCUAAUAAAAGCAAAAAUCAAGAGAGAAAAAUGCCAUUUUGUCUCCAAGAUUAGAACAGUGAAAGCGACGGCAAAGGAGUGGGACGAUGACGCAGCAGAGGAGAUAGUCGAUGGCAGCAGCAGAUGGUCGGGUCAACGGCGAUGCAGCAAAUGGGUUGGGAUUUUGAUUUGGGGAAAAUUUAGGAAUUUGGGAAAAAAUUUUAGGGGGAAAAAAUAAGGUGUUUCAGGUAUAUGGGUUGG
rnacentral:lncRNA from 1 species